rnacentral:rRNA from 1 species
AUUGAACGCUGGCGGCAGGCCUAACACAUGCAAGUCGAACGGUAGCACAGAGAGCUUGCUCUCGGGUGACGAGUGGCGGACGGGUGAGUAAUGUCUGGGAAACUGCCCGAGGGAGGGGGAUAACUACUGGAAACGGUAGCUAAUACCGCAUAACGUCGCAAGACCAAAGUGGGGGACCUUCAGGCCCCACACCAUCGGAUGUGCCCAGAUGGGAUUAGCUAGUAGGUGGGGUAAUGGCUCACCUAGGCGACGAUCCCUAGCUGGGCUGAGAGGAUGACCAGCCACACGGGAACUGAGACACGGUCCAGACUCCUACGGGAGGCAGCAGUGGGGAAUAUUGCACAAUGGGCGCAAGCCUGAUGCAGCCAUGCCGCGUGUAUGAAGAAGGCCUUCGGGUUGUAAAGUACUUUCAGCGGGGAGGAAGGCGGUGAAGUUAAUAGCUUCACCGAUUGACGUUACCCGCAGAAGAAGCACCGGCUAACUCCGUGCCAGCCGCCGCGGUAA